rnacentral:other from 1 species
GCGGAGCUGCCCGGUGCGUCAGGCUGUUCAUCCCCGGGGCCAGUAAGCGUUCUCCAGGGAGCUGGCUCUGCCGGGAUCGUGGUCUCGGUAUCUGGCGCCCACCUGCACAAGCAGGCCUUGGGAGGAUGUGGUGCCAACGGCCAAGGCGGCUCCGCG